UACGUAGGGGGCAAGCGUUGUCCGGAAUCAUUGGGCGUAAAGCGCGUGUAGGCGGCUCGGUAAGUCCGCUCUGAAAGUCCGGGGCUCAACCCCGGGAGGCGGGUGGAUACUGUCGAGCUCGAGUCCGGAAGAGGCGAGUGGAAUUCCUGGUGUAGCGGUGGAAUGCGCAGAUAUCAGGAGGAACACCAACGGCGAAGGCAGCUCUCUGGGACGUUACUGACGCUGAGACGCGAAAGCGUGGGGAGCAAACAGG
rnacentral:rRNA from 1 species